AGCCAGCAGCCGCGGUAAAACGUAGGAGCCAAGCGUUAUCCGAAUUCACUGGGCGUAAAGCGCGUGCAGGCGGUCUGGUAAGUUGGGUGUGAAAUCUCCUGGCUCAACUGGGAGAGGACGUUCAAUACUGUCAGACUCGAGGGCGGUAGAGGGAGGUGGAAUUCCCGGUGUAGUGGUGAAAUGCGUAGAUAUCGGGAGGAACACCAGUGGCGAAAGCGGCCUCCUGGACCGCACCUGACGCUCAGACGCGAAAGCUAGGGGAGCAAACGGGAUUAGAAACCCCGGUAGUCCUAGCUGUAAACGAUGUUGACUGGGUGUUGGUGGGGUAAAAGCCAUCAGUGCCGAAGCAAACGCGAUAAGUCAACCGCCUGGGGACUACGGCCGCAAGGUUAAAACUUAAAGGAAUUGGCGGGGGA
rnacentral:rRNA from 1 species